AACAAGAUGUAGCUUAAUUAAAGCCCUCCGCUUACACCGGAGAAAUGUCUGUUCAACUCGGACUAUCUUGAG
rnacentral:tRNA from 1 species